GUCUCAGGUUCGUCAGCCCGAG
rnacentral:miRNA from 12 species